GUGGCCUAUUGGUUAGAGCGUCCGCCUCGAGUGCGGAUGUCGCGUGUUCGAACCACGGCCGAUUCA